GUGGGGAAUCUUAGACAAUGGGGGAAACCCUGAUCUAGCCAUGCCGCGUGAUCGAUGAAGGCCUUAGGGUUGUAAAGAUCUUUCGCUGGGGAAGAUAAUGACUGUACCCAGUAAAGAAGCCCCGGCUAACUCCGUGCCAGCAGCCGCGGUAAUACGGAGGGGGCUAGCGUUAUUCGGAAUUACUGGGCGUAAAGCGCACGUAGGCGGACUGGAAAGUUGGGGGUGAAAUCCCGGGGCUCAACCUCGGAACUGCCUUCAAAACUCCCAGUCUUGAGUUCGAGAGAGGUGAGUGGAAUUCCGAGUGUAGAGGUGAAAUUCGUAGAUAUUCGGAGGAACACCAGUGGCGAAGGCGGCUCACUGGCUCGAUACUGACGCUGAGGUGCGAAAGCGUGGGGAGCAAACAGGAUUAGAUACCCGGGUAGUCC
rnacentral:rRNA from 1 species